GAUGAACGCUAGCUACAGGCUUAACACAUGCAAGUCGAGCGACUGGAGCACGGGUGAGUAACACGUAUCCAACCUGCCCGCUACUCGGGGGUAGCCUUUCGAAAGAAAGAUUAAUACCUGACAUAAGGGUUGGGAAUGCGUUCCAUUAGGUUGUUGUUGCGGUAACGGCUCGCCAAGCCAUAGAUGGAUAGGGGUUCUGAGAGUAAGGACCCCCACAUUGGAACUGAGACACGGUCCAAACUCCUACGAGAGGCAGCAGUUAGGAGUAUUUGUCGAGGGGCGCUAGCCUGAACCAGCCAAGUAGCGUGAAGGAUGAAGGCUUAUAGGUCGUAAACUUCUUUUAUAUAAGAAUAGGUAUUAAAUGAAUAAGGAUCGGCUAACUCCGUGCCAGCAGCCGCGGUAAUAC
rnacentral:rRNA from 1 species